CAUUGCGGAUGACUUGAGGAUGUUGGAAGCAUUCAAGGAGGAGGAGAAAGAAGUGCAGAACAUCGCAAUCUUGAUGUUGCCAGAUGCUGUCCUGUGGGAAGUUCUUCUUCACGUGGUCCUGGAGGAGGGUGACGCUGCAUUGUUUAAGCGGUCUUUGGUUUGUUCCAAACAGACUCAUUUUGAAAGAGGGCACACUUCUGCUGGCUUGACAGUGUAACAAGAUGGAGAACUAAGUCUGAGCCAUGCCAGGAAUUUUUCUGGGCCUAACAGAACUGCAUUUUACCAUUGUACAGGUGAUUAGGACGGGAUCCUGGUCGGAGACAGGAGCUAUGCCUGCAGGCAUUACUUCAUGACCCCAACCCUGGACUACAAACCCGUUACAAUGCAGCCAGGACAAGGGCACGCAUUGAAAUGACCUUUUGGGCAACUAAAGGGAAGGUUUCAGUGUCUGAGGGUUGCACCUGACAGGGCAUGCAACAUUGUGGCAUGUGCUGUAUUACACAACAUUGCCACCAUCAGAAAGGAGUGAGUGAGUGAGUGAA